rnacentral:rRNA from 1 species
UACAGAGGUCUCAAGCGUUGUUCGGAUUCAUUGGGCGUAAAGGGUGCGUAGGUGGCGGGGUAAGUCAGGUGUGAAAUCUCGGAGCUCAACUCCGAACUGCACUUGAUACUGCCUUGCUUGAGUACUGGAGAGGAGAUUGGAAUUUACGGUGUAGCAGUGAAAUGCGUAGAUAUCGUAAGGAAGACCAGUGGCCGAAGGCGAACUCUCGGACAGUUACUGACA